UACGUAGGGGGCUAGCGUUGUCCGGAAUCAUUGGGCGUAAAGCGCGUGUAGGCGGUCCGUUAAGUCCGCUGUGAAAGUCGAGGGCUCAACCCUCGAAUGCCGGUGGAUACUGUCGGGCUAGAGUGCGGAAGAGGCGAGUGGAAUUCCUGGUGUAGCGGUGAAAUGCGCAGAUAUCAGGAGGAACACCUAUUGCGAAGGCAGCUCGCUGGGACGUUACUGACGCUGAGACGCGAAAGCGUGGGGAGCAAACAGG
rnacentral:rRNA from 1 species